rnacentral:rRNA from 1 species
AGUGAACGCUGGCGGUAGGCCUAACACAUGCAAGUCGAACGGCAGCACAGGAGAGCUUGCUCUCUGGGUGGCGAGUGGCGGACGGGUGAGGAAUACAUCGGAAUCUCCUUUUUCGUGGGGGAUAACGUAGGGAAACUUACGCUAAUACCGCAUACGACCUACGGGUGAAAGCAGGGGACCUUCGGGCCUUGCGCGAUUGAAUGAGCCGAUGUCGGAGUAGCUAGUUGGCGGGGUAAAGGCCCACCAAGGCGACGAUCCGUAGCUGGUCGGAGAGGAUGAUCAGCCACACUGGAACUGAGACACGGUCCAGACUCCUACGGGAGGCAGCAGUGGGGAAUAUUGGACAAUGGGCGCAAGCCUGAUCCAGCCAUACCGCGUGGGUGAAGAAGGCCUUCGGGUUGUAAAGCCCUUUUGUUGGGAAAGAAAUCCAGCUGGCUAAUACCCGGUUGGGAUGACGGUACCCAAAGAAUAAGCACCGGCUAACUUCGUGCCAGCCGCCGCCGUAA